GAUGAACGCUGGCGGCGUGCCUAAUACAUGCAAGUCGAGCGAACAGAUGAGGAGCUUGCUCCUCUGACGUUAGCGGCGGACGGGUGAGUAACACGUGGAUAACCUACCUAUAAGACUGGGAUAACUUCGGGAAACCGGAGCUAAUACCGGAUAAUAUAUUGAACCGCAUGGUUCAAUAGUGAAAGACGGUUUUGCUGUCACUUAUAGAUGGAUCCGCGCCGCAUUAGCUAGUUGGUAAGGUAACGGCUUACCAAGGCAACGAUGCGUAGCCGACCUGAGAGGGUGAUCGGCCACACUGGAACUGAGACACGGUCCAGACUCCUACGGGAGGCAGCAGUAGGGAAUCUUCCGCAAUGGGCGAAAGCCUGACGGAGCAACGCCGCGUGAGUGAAGAAGGUCUUCGGAUCGUAAAACUCUGUUAUUAGGGAAGAACAAAUGUGUAAGUAACUAUGCACGUCUUGACGGUACCUAAUCAAAAAGCCACGGCUAACUACGUG
rnacentral:rRNA from 1 species